UGCUUUCAUGCUGAAUUCUCUUUUAUCUUUUUUCUUUCCUUUGAGGAAGGGAAAAUGAGAGAAAACCACAUUCAGUAAAUGUGGAACAGAAUAUGCAGUUUUACAGUUAGCUGUAAAAAAGCAACCAGCUCUAGUCCCAUGCUGUCAAAUGUGUAUAGUAUGUUUUACUGUUGUCAAUAUAAACAGCUACCUGGCCAAAUUCAUUAAAAACAGGUUUAAAGCCUCACAUAAACCUUCUGUUUCUCACAUGCAGAAUCUUCAAUGAAUUUUAAAGGACCCUGCUGAAAUCUUGAUCAUUUAUUUCUUUUCAGCUGAACAGUUGUUGAAUGAUGGCUGCUGGAAGCACAGUAAAUGGCUUGGAUUAAGAACUGGCUAAAAAGUUACAAGGUAGGUAUGAGGGAAAAGUAAACAGCCAAGUCUCUAUUAACAUCAAAGGAGACAGUGCAGAGUGUGCAGAGAUAGCUGUGGAGGUUGCCAGAGUUCCAUAUAGCUACUGGGUUUUUCCACUUGAGGAAUGGCAAAGUGGUGAAAGUUACCCAUAGUUUCAAGAGCAUCUUGGCUGGGAAAGUCCAAAGGUUUUACUCCCAUGGAAUUUAAAUCUGUAAUUUAAUCUGAGAUAUAUUUGAUUUUGAUCUAUAAUCAAGCAACAGAAAUGCACAGGCCUUUUGUCUUUACCGUAUCCAUUAUUCAUGAGGAAAUGGGGAAAGGUGGAUUUUAUGGAAAGUUAUCUUGCAAACUAUGGAGAUGGGCUUGUAAUUAAAGCACAGUAAUCUUCACAGUCUCUUAUUUCGCCCAAGCCGGAGGAUAUACUCUAAUAUACUGCUUUCCUACCUAGGACACAAGAAUAAUCAUAAUGUUUAUGUUGAGCUGUGGCUGACAGUAUUGCUGCUUGUGGCUGCACUGCAGUUAUCUUUAGACUUCGUAGCAGAAAUGACCUACCCAGACAUCCUUUCCUCAAGGGUAGGGUAGACCUGGGAUGUCUCUGAAAUAAAAUAAUCACGUGUAUUAUCUAAUUCUGCAGCCAGCUGGAGGGUAGAAAUUUGUACCUCCCAAAAUACUCUUCUCUAUGUGGACUGAACUAUGUUGACAGGAACCACUAAAAGCUACAGUGUGAUGCAGUUAUUGCUUAGCUGUGUGAAGUAAAUCCCAGAGAUUACUGUCUCCAGCUGCUCAUCGCCACCUCUUUUGGAGUUCAUAAUCUCUGUUGAUUUGCCAAUGGCAGAUGCAAGUGCUCAAAUUACUGUUAAAACACAGCAGGUUGGUGUCCCUGCACACUUACAGGAAUCAAAUUUCUUUAAGAGGUAUGGAACACCAACAAACUGUAUUUGGCUAUGUUUUACUUGCUUUAAUCCCAUUUAUCAUAUUCGCUUUAAAUACGUCUUGCUGACAAAAUGACUUUGAAUCCAAGACUGGCUUAGCAACUUUUGGGACUUCUUAAUCAGGCAGCUUGAGAUGUAUUUUGAGUUAAACCCAAGUGAUGAAAUUAUGCUAUGGGUGCCUCAAUUCAUACCUGGGAAAUAAUGACUAUUUCAAAUACAGUUACCAUUCACUGAUGGGAGAAGGAGAAGAAGGUGGUAAUUUGUGCUUGCAGAAUCAGCUGUGCUAGAGGAGGGGUUAACACCUUUGUGGCUGUGGCAGCUGUGUAGCUGAUUUCUGUGAGAAGGUUUUUUUGGGAGAGGAGGUUUAAAUUCUGCCUGCCUGGGUAAGAAGCUCUUCUAGUGGUGGUUGCCUGGAGGGAAGGUGCUUCUGUCUUGCCCUAGCUCUACUUUUCUUCAGUGGUUUAUGAAUAAUAAAUUAAAUCAGAAUAUAGUGUUGCAGGUAAGACUGAGAAUGAUUUUGUCUUUUGCAAAGUGAGAGGUGAUAUGUAUGCAUACAUAUUUAAUAUCAGUUUUGGGGUGAAAUCCCUGGAUGUAUUACCAACUGGUACA